CUGGCGGCGUGCUUAACACAUGCAAGUCGAACGCGAAAGGGACUUCGGUCCUGAGUAAAGUGGCGCACGGGUGAGUAACGCGUAGAUAACCUGUCUUCAUGUCUGGAAUAAUACGCCGAAAGGGGUACUAAUACCGGAUAUUCUUGCUUUUCAUAAGUUAUGCAAGCAAAGGUGGCCUCUGCAUAUGCUACUGCAUGAAGAGGGGUCUGCGUACCAUUAGCUAGUAGGUGGGGUAAUGGCCUACCUAGGCGACGAUGGUUAGCGGGUCUGAGAGGAUGAUCCGCCACACUGGCACUGGAACACGGGCCAGACUCCUACGGGAGGCAGCAGUGAGGAAUAUUGCGCAAUGGGGGAAACCCUGACGCAGCGACGCCGCGUGAGUUGAGGAAGGCCUUCGGGUCGUAAAGCUCUGUCAAGAGGAAAGAAGUGUACAAUGGCUAAUACCUGUUGUAUUUGACGGUACCUCUAAAGGAAGCACCGGCUAACUCCGUGCCAGCAGCUGC
rnacentral:rRNA from 1 species